UUUAAAUUUUAGUCAUUGAAAUAUUCAUAAGAUAUCCUUCUUUGACAGGAGAUGGCCAUCAGUCUGACGAUCAUGCUGCGAGUGGAGAUAAAGAGGCUGGAAAUUUCGAUAAGAACCUGUAUCUUUAUAGCGAUGAAAUGGCAGAAAGACCUCACGUAGCAACAUUUCUAAGUACUCUAGCCAAUUACAAUGUUGCUAUACCCACUGUCGAAGAUCCAGAGGGCCCUAAGGAAGGAAAAGCUCCACCAAAG